AGAACACACCACCUGUCCUUUGAACAUCAGACUAAGAUCAGAACCACAAUAGCUAUUCUAUGCACUAUUAUUUCGAGAUGUAGUAACAAAGUGAAAUAACGUUCUUCUGAUGAAGAACACAGACCACCACACUGUGACAAGUUAAUCACCUGUCGGGACAAACACUGCCUUCCUUCGAGAAAAGUCACCGAAGGUCCAGUCAGGGCCCAGUGCUGUCCUAUCCAACCACAGUGAAAUCUGUAAUACUUGUCUGAAUAGAAUUUGCCAAGCUGUUUCCUCCACAAUUAAACAUAUUGACAGGAA